AAGGACACUAUAAAAAGAUAAUGAGAGAAAAUAAUUAUUUAAUAAAUAUAAAUAUUCUUACUUGACUCAUACGGAAAUAUAUAUAAAGAAAAAAGGAAAUAUUACAAGUUAUAGUUUAACUCCAAAAUAUAUUGGGUAGAGCAGAGAAGCUAUACACUAUUUAGAAAACAUACAACUAACCUUAAACUUACAAAGAAUGGUAUAUUAAGAAAUUGCUCAUAUAAUGAGAUAUUUACCUCGAUAAUAAAAUAAAAGCCGACAUUUAAAUGAUUACGUGUAAUAAUACAAUAUCUAAUAAAAUAUUCGCUUUAAGAAACGCUUCUAAUGUUUGUGCGAGAGAGUAUAUUUGGAAAGGUUAGUAACUUUCUUCAGAAGCUGGGUAAGCAGAGCAUGCCUCGUUUUUACGUACUUUCAACAUAAUCUUCCAAGUAAAGCAUCCUUUUCUGCUGGCGCUUCGUUACCCGAUGCUUAAUUUACAAUUAUUUACAAUUUACUAAAGGGGAGUGCUUGCCGCCGUGACAAAAUCAACGAAAAUUCUAGCACUCGAUCGGAAGCGUGUUUACGGCGGCCAAAUCCCUUGUUGUACCCACAUUUUCACGCUAGUUCUGUAAAUAAUGCGAAUCUAUGAACGAUUCGUACGAAAUAUCGUAGGAAAAAUGUCAUUUUCGCGAAUAUAAAUGGUCCAGUAAUUAGUGCAUUCUUAAAAGUGUUAUUUAUUUCGGAAUUAUUACUGGCCAGUUAUCUAUUCCUUGUAAUCCGCCAUCUUAACGUAACUUUCAGGAGUGACUUUACAUGGUUCUGUGCCCCGUGCGAAAUAUUUUACAUUCUUAUUUUUUAGUCAAAUAUUUCUAUCGAUUCAGACAUUGGUAUUUUCAUUUAUUGAAUAAAUAUUAUCAUUACAUUUAUUCUAUUCCUUAAAUUUUAUAUCUCUAAUUCUUUAUAUUAUAUACUUAUUAGUUGCAUAAUGGAUAUAAAUGUAUUCUGUAUGUAUUGCACACAUAAUAUAUGAUAUUUAAAAAGA